GCCAUUUGCUCGACUGAGCCACCCAGACAUCCCGAGGGAAAGCUCCUUAUAAUAAGGAUGAAGAUCUUCUCCCAAGAAAAUAUUUUGAGGUUGACUUUCCGGUCAUAGUCACGAGAAAGCUACACAGCAUCAAGCACAUUUUCUGGUCCUGCACCUUAGAGUUUCUGAUUUUGCCAUCAUAGUGUCCAGAGCUCACGACCAAGGAAGAAUUCUUGAGCUGUCUCUGGUGCCGCAAAAAGACCUCCCUCGGUCAGGAGUUCUGGGAUACUUGGCGGGGUAUUCCGACUGUGCAGGAUGCUUUUCCACAGCAGACCAGAGAUGUGCUGGACUUUGCUGAUGUCAUCUGGGUAUAGGAAAAACCAACAGACCCUCCAAACGCGAUCCUAACACUGAAGGCGGAAGUGACACAGUGGAAGAACUUGUCCCAGUCUUCAUCGCAGGGACUGAAGAGCUCAGACUCAGCUGCAGUCUGGAAACUGAAGAACACCAUUAGGGACAGAACAGCAUUGGGUGAGGGAGAUGGACGACCACAUCAGCUUGGAGUGGCGGGAUUACA